rnacentral:rRNA from 1 species
GAUUAAGUUAUUAAGGGCGCACGGUGGAUGCCUUGGCACUAGAAGCCGAUGAAGGACGUUACUAACGACGAUAUGCUUUGGGAGCUGUAAGUAAGCUUUGAUCCAGAGAUUUCCGAAUGGGGAAACCCAGCACGAGUUAUGUCGUGUUAUCUGCAUGUGAAUACAUAGCAUGCAAGAAGGCAGACCCGGAGAACUGAAACAUCUUAGUACCCGGAGGAAGAGAAAGAAAAAUCGAUUCCCUGAGUAGCGGCGAGCGAAACGGGAAGAGCCCAAACCAAUAAGCUUGCUUAUUGGGGUUGUAGGACACUCUGUACGGAGUUACAAAAGAAUUUGUUAGACGAAUAACCUGGAA